rnacentral:tRNA from 1 species
AGGGAUGUAACUCAAUGAUAAAGUACUUGCCUAGCAUUCAUGAGAUCCUGGGUUCAAUUCCCAGCACUA